GGGGGCACUUUGGUUUCGACGGAGAAUAUUGACUGAAACAUAAAGCACGUGGUGAGUUGACACCUAAAAAUCACAAAUUGCAAAUAAACGCAAAUAAUAAUGUAGUUCGUAUGAACAGUGUAGCUUGCGCUGCUUAAGUUCAAAGGCGGACAAAAAAAUCGGUUGACAAAGUUUCAACCUCUCGGCUAGAUGUCUCGCUACCAUUUAGAUUCGGGAUUAUUUCAAGCGCUCUCACAAAUCUCAGUUAGUCUUUGAAGGAUUUGUGAAAUUUAAAAGAAUAGUUGAAGGAAAGUUGUUUAUGACUGUGCUUUCAAUAAAGUUUAAUCAUAAACUAAACGUGUAGAAAGGUUUUAAGCAAGUUUUUCGGAAGCGGGUUCAAUUCCCGCUGUCUCCACCA
rnacentral:tmRNA from 1 species